AUCGAGCUGAUGAGUUCCAAAUACUACGAAACACGUGUCCUGGAU
rfam:Schistosoma mattheei strain Denwood, Zambia genome assembly, scaffold: SMTD_scaffold0001545